AUGCCAGAGACAGGUGCAAAGACCCUUCUAUUUUUUUCUUCACAGGUCAAGGGGAGAAGCAGAUGAGGAAAGAGGACUUUGUAAGAAGUUUCACCUGUUUUAAACUCCAGAUAAAGAAAUGGAAGUGCAGAGAGGUCAACUAACCUGUGGGUCCUAAGCAGAAGAACAAGACUUCAAUUGGGAUCUUUUGACUUCAAAAGCAAUGCUCCUGACAUGAUAGAAAGACUACUUUUCCAUUUAAUAAUUUAAAAGUGUAAUUACAACUGAAAAUAAAAGAUCUUUAAGAAAAUGGAGCGUUAUAUCU
rnacentral:lncRNA from 1 species